GAAUACGAUCAUACCAGCACUAACGCAUCGGAGCCCAUUAGAACUUCGAAGUUAAGUGUACUUGGGCCAGAGUAAUACUAGGAUAGGUGACCCCCUCGGAAGUCCUCGUGUUGUAUCCC
rnacentral:rRNA from 1 species